rnacentral:rRNA from 1 species
UACGGGGGGUGCAAGCGUUGUUCGGAAUCAUUGGGCGUAAAGAGCGUGUAGGCGGCUUGGUAAGUCAGAUGUGAAAGCCCUGGGCUCAACCCGGGAAGUGCAUUUGAAACUGCCAGGCUCGAGUAGGGGAGAGGGAAGUGGAAUUCCUGGUGUAGAGGUGAAAUUCGUAGAUAUCAGGAGGAACACCGGUGGCGAAGGCGACUUCCUGGCCCUAUACUGACGCUGAGACGCGAGAGCGUGGGUAGCAAACAGGAUUAGAUACCCUGGUAGUCCACGCCGUAAACGAUGUUCACUAGGUGUUGGGGGUAUUGACCCCCUCAGUGCCGCAGCUAACGCAUUAAGUGAACCGCCUGGGGAGUACGGUCGCAAGACUAAA